rnacentral:ncRNA from 1 species
CUAUGAUGAACAUAUACUUUUCGUAUAUCCUUAACGAUACGGGUUAAGGGUUUCUACUCGGAACCGUAAAUUCCAGGCUACGAAAAAAUUGGCACAGUGC